GUAUGUCUGUGUGUGUGUGUGUAUGUCAGUAUGUGUGUGUAUGUCUGUAUGACAGACAUACUGACAUACACACACACACAGAUAUAUACACACACAGACAU